rnacentral:rRNA from 1 species
AGUCGAGGGGUAACAGAGAGGAGCUUGCUUCUUUGCUGACGACCGGCGCACGGGUGCGUAACGCGUAUACAAUCUACCUCUUACUGAAGGAUAGCCCAGAGAAAUUUGGAUUAAUACUUCAUAGUAUGUCGACUUCGCCUGGAGAUGACAUUAAAGGUUACGGUAAGAGAUGAGUAUGCGUUCUAUUAGCUAGAUGGUGUGGUAACGGCACACCAUGGCAACGAUAGAUAGGGGCCCUGAGAGGGGGAUCCCCCACACUGGUACUGAGACACGGACCAGACUCCUACGGGAGGCAGCAGUGAGGAAUAUUGGACAAUGGGCGCAAGCCUGAUCCAGCCAUGCCGCGUGCAGGAAGACUGCCCUAUGGGUUGUAAACUGCUUUUAUACAGGAAGAAACACUCCCUCGUGAGGGAGCUUGACGGUACUGUAAGAAUAAGGAUCGGCUAACUCCGUGCCAGCAGCCGCGGUAAUACGGAGGAUCCAAGCGUUAUCCGGAAUCAUUGGGUUUAAAGGGUCCGUAGGUGGAUAAUUAAGUCAGAGGUGAAAUCCUGCAGCUCAACUGUAGAAUUGCCUUUGAAACUGGUUAUCUUGAGUUAUUAUGAAGUAGUUAGAAUAUGUAGUGUAGCGGUGAAAUGCAUAGAUAUUACAUAGAAUACCAAUUGCGAAGGCAGAUUACUAAUAAUAUACUGACACUGAUGGACGAAAGCGUGGGGAGCGAACGGGAUUAGAUACCCCGGUAGUCCACGCCGUAAACGAUGGUCACUAGCUGUUCGGAACUUGUUUCUGAGUGGCUAAGCGAAAGUGAUAAGUGACCCACCUGGGGAGUACGUUCGCAAGAAUGAAACUCAAAGGAAUUGACGGGGGCCCGCACAAGCGG